GUCACAGCGCCCGCCCGCUCCCGGCCGCCGCCGCGCGGGCCCGGGGCCCGCCGCUCCCGCCGGGGUCGGUGUCACGGCGUCGUGAAGGGUGGAAAAGACCUCUGGGAUCAAGUGCAACCUAUGACCGGGCACCACCCCGCCAAUCAAACCAUGGCACAGAGUGGCGCGUCCAGGCUCUCCUGUAACACCUCCCGGGACGGUGACUUCCCCAUCUCCCUGGACGCUCCCUUCUGAUUUAUAAUCACUCUUUCUGUGAAGAAAUUCUUCCUAAUGUCCCACCUAAACCUCCCUGGUGCACUUUAGGACUAUAUCUUCCUAUCCUGUCGCUGGUUGCCUGGGAAGUCCCUCUGCCGCUUGCUAAGAGGACACUGCCACGGCAGUGCCCGAGCGUGGUACCCAGCCAUGAACGUGACUAAGCACAGGACAAGAGGACAGGGUUCACGCCCUGGCCCAAACAGGAUCAGCCAGAGCAGGUUGCCUAGGUCUAUAUCCAGUUGAAUUUUUAAUAUUUCAAAGAAUGGAUACUCCAGAACCUCUCUGAGCAACCCAAGACAAUGUUUGACCAUACUUGGAGUAAAAAUUCAGGGUUAUGUUCACCUGGAGUGUCAUGUGUUUUAAUCUGUGUCCACUGUAUCCUGUCACAGGGCAACACUGAAGGCAGAUUGGCUUCCUUGUCUUCCAUCCAUCAGGCAUCUAAAUAUAUACUGAUAAGAUCUCCUUGUUCUUUUCUAGGCUGUAGUUCCAGCUCUGUCAGCCCUUCCUCAUAAGAGAGAUGCUCCAGUCCUUUCAUUACGUUCACAGCCUUUUGUUGCACUGUCUUCAGUAUGUCCGUAUCUUCCUUGUAUUGGAGAAUCCAGGAAAAACUCCAGCCAAUGAAGCCCCAAUGUGCACUGGUGCACAGCAUUGUUCCUCCCCAGAUGCAGGUUUUGUUGUUUUCCCUUGCUGAACUUCAUGAGAUGUUUCUCAACCCAGCUCUUCAGCUGGUCAGAGUGACUACUAAAUGAGUAGCUCAGUGACGAGCUCUGUAUGUCUGGUCUCGUUUGUAUGAGGAUUUUUGGGAAGGACUCUGGAUGUCAUGACUGUUUACAUUUGUGGUACAUUGUGUUUUGAUUAUCUGAAAUCUGUAAUCUAGCACAGAGGCUGGAAUGGUACUGUAUGUUUAUACAAGGUCUUGCAGCCUUCAGAAUUCACAUUGCAAAUGUUGGGAAGUCUGUGUUACUGGGAUAAGUCUGUGUCUGAGAAAUAUUGCUAUACUCUUCUCCUAGAUAAAAACAUGACAUGCGAAGACAUCAAGAUCUGAUUUUAACAGUCAGAUGAAGGUUCCUUGGAGGUGUCAGGAAGCAGAAAUAUUGAGGGAGUUGAAACCCUGUCUUUUGUCCCCUUCAUUAGUCUGCUUGGUGGGUGUGUGUGCUUCAUGUCCUGUCAUUACACAGCUUCUGUACAAAUUUUCUUUCUCAUCAUUAAUAUCAUAUCUGCCUUAAGAGGUAUCAGUGACUUCUGCCUGCUUCAUGACUUUUGGAGUCUUUUGCCUUUGAAUCUGGUUUUCUCUCCAUAUUUGCUGAACACUUAAAGCUUCAAAUGAAACAGAUUGAACCUCUUAGGUAUUCAUUAUGACUGGAGAUGACACUCCAUGUUUCUCAGCAGGAACAACCAGAAGUAGAGACUCCUAAAAUUUUGAGUGCAACUGACUUUGAUCAAAGUUAUAUGACAAGAUAAGGAAGAAGCUCGUAACAGAAUCCAAAAAUAUCAGUGCCUAGUCACUUGAAAUAAAUCAAUUUGAGAGCUUGUAUGAAUAAAUCCUUGGCACUACUGACUUUAAGAAACAAAAUACAAAAAGGAAAAUGAGUACAGAAGAAAUUAUAAAUGUAUAUUCCUCAGAAAUAAAUUCUUUCAUUAAACAGAGUUAAAUGCUUUUGAAAGUAGUCUAUCACAUCUGUACUUACUUUUUUGUUGUUUUGUUUAUGUUUAGCCAAGAUGUUUGUAGAGGAAUUACUUCAAUAUGUAAUAAUAUCAAUCAACAUAAUCUAAGUAUUGAAUAGUGCUUAUCAAGAAAUCAUUAAUAAAGCUUUUAAAGAA